rnacentral:rRNA from 1 species
GAUGAACGCUGGCGGCGUGCCUAAUACAUGCAAGUCGAGCGAACAGACGAGGAGCUUGCUCCUCUGACGUUAGCGGCGGACGGGUGAGUAACACGUGGAUAACCUACCUAUAAGACUGGGAUAACUUCGGGAAACCGGAGCUAAUACCGGAUAAUAUAUUGAACCGCAUGGUUCAACAGUGAAAGACGGUUUUGCUGUCACUUAUAGAUGGAUCCGCGCCGCAUUAGCUAGUUGGUAAGGUAACGGCUUACCAAGGCAACGAUGCGUAGCCGACCUGAGAGGGUGAUCGGCCACACUGGAACUGAGACACGGUCCAGACUCCUACGGGAGGCAGCAGUAGGGAAUCUUCCGCAAUGGGCGAAAGCCUGACGGAGCAACGCCGCGUGAGUGAUGAAGGUCUUCGGAUCGUAAAACUCUGUUAUUAGGGAAGAACAAAUGUGUAAGUAACUAUGCACGUCUUGACGGUACCUAAUCAGAAAGCCACGGCUAACUACGUG